rnacentral:snoRNA from 1 species
CUUCCCAUUUAACUACUACUCCUUCAUUUUACAGAUUGAGUGGCUAUGCUUAUGGGAUAGAGAAAACACUGCCAAAGUCUGAAGGAGAAGAUUGACAAUAUCUUUUUCCUAUAUGAAAUGGCAGAACACAGAAUG